rnacentral:misc_RNA from 1 species
ACUUGUUCUUUUGUCAGGCCACUGAAGGAGAACAUGCCGUUCUGUUUGAUGAUAAAGCUGAAGUCGCGGUUUGCGCCUUUUUCCUGCAGCGUAUUGACGAACAACUGACGCAUACGCUGAAUACGCUGGC